GACGAACGCUGGCGGCGUGCUUAACACAUGCAAGUGGAGCGACGAACCAGGGCUUGCCCUGGGGCAGAGCCGCGAACGGGUGAGUAACACGUGGGUAACGUGCCCCAAUGAUCGGGACAACCCGGGGAAACCCGGGCUAAUACCGAAUGUGCCCCCCUCACACCAGUGAGGGGUGGAAAGGAAGCUUCGGCCUCCGCAUUGGGAUCGGCCCGCGGCCCAUUAGCUUGUUGGUGAGGUAACGGCUCACCAAGGCUGCGAUGGGUAGCUGGUCUGAGAGGACGAUCAGCCACACUGGGACUGAGACACGGCCCAGACUCCUACGGGAGGCAGCAGUGGGGAAUCUUGCGCAAUGCGCGAAAGCGUGACGCAGCAACGCCGCGUGGGGGAAGAAGGCCUUCGGGUUGUAAACCCCUUUCAGGAGGGACGAAGCGUGGGCCGUUAAUAGCCCAGAGGGUGACGGUACCUCCAGAAGAAGCCCCGGCUAACUACGUGCCAGCCGCCGCGGUAACAC
rnacentral:rRNA from 1 species